GGGGAUGUAUUUGGCUUUGACAUUGAUGGUUCAAGUCGCUAAAUCGCAAUCCAGGCAUCGCGCUGUCUGCCUGCUAAUUAGUCCAGCGCACGAAUAAGUGCUAAACUUACUCAAAAAGGUAACCUUGGUGCACGUUUCGCAUCUGUUAAAGCAGCUUUUGCUCCUUUAGCUUACGCACGCGUGUAAUUUAGGUUCCAACGACUGCCAAUUCGCAGUCUCGUCCAUGUUAGCGACACCUGCUGACUCUCAUGGGCGUAAUUUAGCAGGUUAAGCAUUUGCUCCGCAAUUAGAGGGGUAAAUGUCUACAAACUAAUCUAAAUAAGCGAUAGUGCUUUUGUUUGUUUCUAUACUAUCGUCGAAAACCACCAAACAAACUAAGAUUGUAGAAGUUUUUCGGCUUCAUCUUUGGACCCCGGUUCGACCCCGGGCAUCUCCACCA
rnacentral:tmRNA from 1 species